rnacentral:rRNA from 1 species
CUGAACAGAGAGUGCUUUCAUUAGAGAGAACCUGGAGACAGGUGCUGCAUGGCUGUCGUCAGCUCGUGUCGUGAGAUGUUGGGUUAAGUCCCGCAACGAGCGCAACCCUUGUCAUUAGUUGCCAUCAUUCAGUUGGGCACUCUAGAGGGACUGCCGGUGUCAAAACCGGAGGAAGGUGGGAUGACGUCAAGUCCUCAUGGCCUUUAUGUCUAGGGCUACGACACGUACUACAAUGGCCGGUACAGAGGGCAGCCACUCAGCGAUGAGGCGGCUAAUCCCACUAAAAGACCGGUCUCAGUCCGGAUCGCAGUCUGCAACUCGACUGCGUGAAGUUGGAAUCGCUAGUAAUCGUAGAUCAGCAUGCUACGGUGAAUACGUUCCCGGGCCUU